rnacentral:misc_RNA from 1 species
GAGAAAAGUAAGGACAUAAGUAACCUUAAAACUAGACUUGUAAAAGCAAAAAACAACCAUCACAAAGUAAAAUUGGAAGCAUAUGUAGUUAGACCGUAAUUUGAUUCUUAUCAAGAGAAAAAAAGGCAAAAAUAUUUAAAUUUUUUACAUUUAUUUUCAAGACAGAAAUAAAGUUCAGAAAUGCAAGUUGAAGACAAAAGACAGCAAAAGGGGAAAAAAAAAAA